UACGGAAUGUGCAAACGUUAUUCGGAAUCACUGGGCUUAAAGAGUCCGUAGGCGGCCUGUUAGGUGAGGUGUGAAAUCCCCCGGCUCAACCGAGGAAUUGCGCUUCAAACCGGCAGGCUUGAGGAGGAUAGAGGUGGGCGGAACUGAUGGUGGAGCGGUGAAAUGCGUUGAUAUCAUCAGGAACACCGGAGGCGAAAGCGGUCCACUGGGUCCUGUCUGACGCUGAGGGACGAAAGCUAGGGGAGCGAACGGG
rnacentral:rRNA from 1 species